rnacentral:lncRNA from 1 species
AACGGAUGGAAAGCAUGGUAGGAAUCCCUCAGCCUUCUACUUCUAGCACUACCACUGGGGCCUAGAGCCACAUGCCCCAGAUGUCUCGAAGAUGCAGCAACUUCAGCAUGAAAUGGAGGGGCACUUGAUGUUGCUGCUGAGGUAGCAGGUGGGUAGCUAGUGACAGCAGGUGGGUAGCUAGGGAUAGCAGGCUCAUGAGAGACCGCAGCAGAGUUGGAGGAAGACCCAAAUGCUGGGGCGGGAUAAGAGCGGAUGGUGUUACGAGGAACUGCCCUGGGGGCAUAUCCCCCAUGCAAAAAGGGUAUGCUAUCAGAAGA